ACAUGGGAUGCUAGAAGCCAGCCUGCGCGUGCUGGGGAGAUAAACAGGGGAAUCUGGAAUGGGAAUAUCCAGAUCGACUGGACUCGGACCUACAACACCAAUAUCAACCUCGCUAGGGAAAGGCUCUGACACAUACAGGGAAUAAUAUGGGGGAAUGGCAUGAAAAGUCUUGAGGGAGAUACAUAGCAGGCUAACUCUUGGUGAAAAGUGCAUAACUCUGUUCUACAGGAAAUCUUUGGCUGAAGGACGAUGUCAACUAGAAGCAGAGCCGCUCUAGGAUCUCCACCCAGUCUCUCUCUGCAAAGGCCUCCCUUGGCUCUCUGAUAAAGUUGGAGCUGUGGGUGCAGCAUUUAACUUGGACCUCGCAGCAUCAAUGAGCCAGCUCCUCACUGGGGAACAUGCAAACCCCCAGCUGCUGGUGUGCAGGAAAAGAAUCCAGGAGAUCACCUGAUGAAGCCCAGCAUUUUACAGUAGGCAGUGGAGCAGGGGAAUCCAGUUGACACUGUCGCUAAAUUUCAGAAAACCUCCCAUGAGAUCUUGCAAAGGAGAUGGAGAAAAUAUGGCUGAAUGCCAGCAAGGUAGGACGGAAGCAUGACUGCUCUAACAACCAAGCUCAAAGAGCACUGCUCACCCAAUGUUUCCUUCAUGACUAGAGCAAAGUGGUGAAAGGACCCUGGUGAGAGGCCCAAAGAACAGGAGGUGUGAGCCAAGAGAAGGUCCUGCCAGGCCUAUGUUGCAGGCUAUUUGGAGGCUGAACUUGAGGUCAG
rnacentral:lncRNA from 1 species